CCACAUUCUUGCUGGUGUCGGUUAUGACACACUGAGAAAUCUUCAGAGACCUAAACUUUUUCCACAAGAUGACUGGAGAAAAAUAAAUCACCAAAUAUGAUAAAGAUACUUGCAUGUUUUCAUUGACUUCACUAAUGGAUGUGACCUGGUUGGCAGCAGCAGCUUGGACAACAUGCUUGUUUGCAGUGGGUGGUAGAGAGAGGCAGGUUUUGCUUUCCCAGAAACCCUGAAAAAGGCGGCCAGAAGACCAAAAUCAAGGUGGAGGCAGAGCCAUACUUCCUCUGACAGCUCUAGGGAAGAAUCCUUUCUUGCCUCUUCUAGCUUCUGGUGGCUCCUGGCACUCCUUGGCUUGUGACAGCGUAACUCUAACCUUUGUCUCUAUCUUCACAUGACCUUACUUGUGUUUCUGUGUCCCAACUACCCAUGACUCAUUCUAAAUUCAGGAUGAUCUCACCCUGAGAUCUUUAACUUUAUUAUAUCUGUGAAGCUCCUAUUUCAAAAUAAGGUGACAUUUACAGGUACUGGAAUGGGAGAGGGUCUAGGACACAGACACACCCUUAUGAGGAUAAUACAUGACCCAUUACAAGGCACAAAAUAAUUGCCAUAGGCAAACCACUAGUGAGAGCUCACUCCAGUUUGGAAUAUAUUCAUGUUUCUAUGUAAGAGAAAAAUUCGUCCUUGCUUCAGUUCAUCUUGGCAUCAGUACAAGGGUGGGAUUCAGAGACAUAAGUGUGGAAUACCAGAUCCCACCACACUUAAAAAGCUGGCAUACUAAGUCGAUAAACAAUGUAGAGUGUGAAGUUGAGUUGAGAAUGCUUAUGCCAUACAGUUUAUGUAUCUUAUAAUAGCCUUAAUCACACUUCCAGUAAUGUUCUCCACCAUUGGAUGCUAAAAAAAUAAAAUUAGUUAAAGAAUUAGAUAGUAUAAAAAAUAUAUAUACCUCUUUGAGUGGAAAAAUGCUGUCAGCACAGUUUGUUAUUUUAUUCCAUUGUAUAAAGACUCACUAGUGCCCUCUUCAUAAAUGUAUUGAAGGUUUGGCUAAAUUGUAUCAAAUUUGUGAUUAAAUACAAAUGUGAAUACCAUAAAAUAUUACAAA